AGCAUAGCCGCGGUAAUACAGAGGGUGCGAGCGUUAAUCGGAUUUACUGGGCGUAAAGCGUGCGUAGGCGGCUAAUUGAGUCGGAUGUGAAAUCCCCGAGCUUAACUUGGGAAUUGCAUUCGAUACUGGUUAGCUAGAGUGUGGGAGAGGAUGGUAGAAUUCCAGGUGUAGCGGUGAAAUGCGUAGAGAUCUGGAGGAAUACCGAUGGCGAAGGCAGCCAUCUGGCCUAACACUGACGCUGAGGUACGAAAGCAUGGGGAGCAAACAGGAUUAGAUACCCCGGUAGUCCCUGUCUCUUAUACA
rnacentral:rRNA from 1 species